rnacentral:rRNA from 1 species
UGGGGAAUCUUAGACAAUGGGGGAAACCCUGAUCUAGCCAUGCCGCGUGAGUGAUGAAGGCCUUAGGGUUGUAAAGCUCUUUCAGCUGGGAAGAUAAUGACGGUACCAGCAGAAGAAGCCCCGGCUAACUCCGUGCCAGCAGCCGCGGUAAUACGGAGGGGGCUAGCGUUGUUCGGAAUUACUGGGCGUAAAGCGCACGUAGGCGGACUGGAAAGUUGGAGGUGAAAUCCUGGGGCUCAACCCCAGAACUGCCUUCAAAACUAUCAGUCUGGAGUUCGAGAGAGGUGAGUGGAAUUCCGGGUGUAGAGGUGAAAUUCGUAGAUAUUCGGAGGAACACCAGUGGCGAAGGCGGCGCACUGGCGCGAUACUGACGCUGAGGUGCGAAAGCGUGGGGAGCAAACAGG